UACAGAGGUCUCAAGCGUUGUUCGGAUUCAUUGGGCGUAAAGGGUGCGUAGGCGGCGCGGUAAGUCGGGUGUGAAAUCUCGGGGCUUAACUCCGAAACUGCAUUCGAUACUGCCGUGCUUGAGGACUGGAGAGGAGACUGGAAUUUACGGUGUAGCGGUGAAAUGCGUAGAUAUCGUAAGGAAGACCAGUGGCGAAGGCGGGUCUCUGGACAGUUCCUGACGCUGAGGAGCGAAAGCCAGGGGAGCAAACGGG
rnacentral:rRNA from 1 species